AUAUAAUAAAUGACAAAUCACGUAUAAUAAGUUAGGUGUAUGAUUGUGAAUAU
rnacentral:guide_RNA from 1 species